AUCAAACCUACACGCACACAAUGAGAAAGCCCUGCACUCCAUCUUCUUUGUGAGUAACCCUAGUUCCCAAACUCCCUCCUUCCAAACACAGAUCAAAAGAAAACCCGCAGACCAUCUUUUUAUCUGCUCUCUCUGGGUUAACGAUCAGCCACCACCAACCGGUGGUGUCGUAUGGUGGUGCUGCGGCGAGAUCGAAAAAUGAGAGAGGAGAGAGAGAACAUAGCGGAGGAGAGAGAGAGGAAUCAGAGAGAGAGAGAGAGAGUAGUGAGAGGAACGGGACCCGGGCACGACAAACGGCGACAGCAGAGCCGUCACGACGGCGGUGGUGGCACUUUUGAUUCCGACAGUUUCACGGUUAGACCCCCCCCCCCCCCGUUCAUUCUCCGGAUCUUUGGUCGGACCGGCUCCGGCUCUGUUUCUGUUGAUGAUCCGCUGUUGAAGAUGAUGAUGAUGAUAAGCUGAUGAUGAUGACAGAGAACAGACGAUGGCGGUGUGUCUCUGAUGAGCUCCGUCCGAUUCUGAUGCUGUUGAAGUUCGGUUCUUUCAGUUUCAGCAGGUUCUGGUCAACAGUGACAACUGGUCAGCGUGUUCGAGAUACAUUAGUUUCAGUUCGGUUGACUCGGUCGAACCGAGUCAACCUGGUCAAGCCUGGUCAACUCAGCGAGCCAACUCGGUCAACCCAGUCGACUCGGUCAACUCAGUCAAACGUCGAGAACGUGAAAGACCCGGUAAAGUUAGCGUAGCGAAUUAGUCUACGUUAGAUUUUAUUUAGUAUACGCGAACCGAGCUCGACCCGACUAACUAACGGUUUUACAUAUAGUGAUUUUGUUUCGUAUUCGACGUUUUGAUAUAUUUAACGUAAAAAUAAUAUAAUGUUUGUUGAGUGAUUGCUGAAUUUUGACGACUAACGACAACUUGAGUUGUCGGGGUUAUUCCAAAAACAGAGGAAGCUCUGUCCGUUUUUCGUUAAAAA